rnacentral:lncRNA from 1 species
GGGGGUUGACUUCCAAAAGUUCAAUUAAGCUUGUCAUUUACUUUUCAUAGCCACCGCAACUCUCAAUAAGGUCAAAACAAUAUCAUACAUGAUAUUUCUCUAGAAGAAACAAUCAAAUCUACCACAUAGGCUUGUAAGCCAUGACUAUAGGAUGAAAGUAAAUAAUCUAGGUCAUGCAUAUGAAACACCAAGAAGUCAUAA